UUAAGUUCAGCGGGUAUCCCUACCUGAUCCGAGGUCAAGAGCAAAAUAUGUAGACUUACUGGACGCCAACAUUCAUGACAAGAAGCGCGACUUGUGCUGCGCUCCCAGGCCAAUAUGCCGGCUGCCAAUGACUUUAAGGCGAGUCUAAAAAGAUAGACAAUCACCCAACACCAAGCAGAGCUUGAAGGUACAAAUGACGC
rnacentral:misc_RNA from 1 species